rnacentral:rRNA from 1 species
UACGGAGGUGGCAAGCGUUGUUCGGAAUCACUGGGCGUAAAGGGCGCGUAGGCGGCCUUGCAAGUCGGUUGGUGAAAGCCCGGGGCUCAACCCCGGAGGUGCGGCCGAGACUGCAGGGCUGGAGGCCGGAAGAGGAGGGUGGAAUACCCAGUGUAGAGGUGAAAUUCGUAGAUAUUGGGUGGAACACCGGUGGCGAAAGCGGCUCUCUGGUCCGGACCUGACGCUGAGGCGCGAAAGCGUGGGGAGCAAACAGG